GAACUGAGUGAGUCGCUUCGCCCACUUGACUGACGUGAGCUCGGUAAGUUAAGGGGCGUUGGGGGUAUGCGGAUUAGGGUUUUGGGUGCUGCUCCGUUGUCGGUUUAUUGCGUUUAGAGGUUCCGGAAUUGCGAAGUGCUAAGUUUCUUUGUU